rnacentral:rRNA from 1 species
AGAGUUUGAUCCUGGCUCAGGAUGAACGCUGGCGGCGUGCCUAAUACAUGCAAGUCGAGCGAAUGGAUUAAGAGCUUGCUCUUAUGAAGUUAGCGGCGGACGGGUGAGUAACACGUGGGUAACCUGCCCAUAAGACUGGGAUAACUCCGGGAAACCGGGGCUAAUACCGGAUAACAUUUUGAACCGCAUGGUUCGAAAUUGAAAGGCGGCUUCGGCUGUCACUUAUGGAUGGACCCGCGUCGCAUUAGCUAGUUGGUGAGGUAACGGCUCACCAAGGCAACGAUGCGUAGCCGACCUGAGAGGGUGAUCGGCCACACUGGGACUGAGACACGGCCCAGACUCUACGGAGGCAGCAGUAGGGAAUCUUCCGCAAUGGACGAAAGUCUGACGGAGCAACGCCGCGUGAGUGAUGAAGGCUUUCGGGUCGUAAACUCUGUUGUUAGGGAAGAACAAGUGCUAGUUGAAUAAGCUGGCACCUUGACGGUACCUAACCAGAAAGCCACGGCUAACUACGUGCCAGCAGCCGCGGUAAUACGUAGGUGGCAAGCGUUAUCCGGAAUUAUUGGGCGUAAAGCGCGCGCAGGUGGUUUCUUAAGUCUGAUGUGAAAGCCCACGGCUCAACCGUGGAGGGUCAUUGGAAACUGGGAGACAGAAGAGGAAAGUGGAAUUCCAUGUGUAGCGGUGAAAUGCGUAGAGAUAUGGAGGAACACCAGUGGCGAAGGCGACUUUCUGGUCUGUAACUGACACUGAGGCGCGAAAGCGUGGGAGCAAACAGGAUUAGAUACCCUGGUAGUCCACGCCGUAAACGAUGAGUGCUAAGUGUUAGAGGGUUUCCGCCCUUUAGUGCUGAAGUUAACGCAUUAAGCACUCCGCCUGGGGAGUACGGCCGCAAGGCUGAAACUCAAAGGAAUUGACGGGGGCCCGCACAAGCGGUGGAGCAUGUGGUUUAAUUCGAAGCAACGCGAAGAACCUUACCAGGUCUUGACAUCCUCUGAAAACCCUAGAGAUAGGGCUUCUCCUUCGGGAGCAGAGUGACAGGUGGUGCAUGGUUGUCGUCAGCUCGUGUCGUGAGAUGUUGGGUUAAGUCCCGCAACGAGCGCAACCCUUGAUCUUAGUUGCCAUCAUUGUUGGGCACUCUAAGGUGACUGCCGGUGACAAACCGGAGGAAGGUGGGAUGACGUCAAAUCAUCAUGCCCCUUAUGACCUGGGCUACACACGUGCUACAAUGGACGGUACAAAGAGCUGCAAGACCGCGAGGUGGAGCUAAUCUCAUAAAACCGUUCUCAGUUCGGAUUGUAGGCUGCAACUCGCCUACAUGAAGCUGGAAUCGCUAGUAAUCGCGGAUCAGCAUGCCGCGGUGAAUACGUUCCGGGCCUUGUACACACCGCCCGUCACACCACGAGUUUGUAACACCCGAAGUCGGUGGGUAACCUUUGGAGCCAGCCGCCUAAGGUGGGACAGAUGAUUGGGGUGAAGUCGUAACAAGGUAGCCGUAUCGGAAGGUGCGGCUG